ACAAAAAUUACAAAUAACAUAAUCAGUAUAUUUGGUAUGGUCGUUCCACAAACUUUGGUCGGGGAGUGGACGACUUCUUUAUUUUUAUUU
rnacentral:antisense_RNA from 1 species